UUUAAUUAACUUCCAAAUCAUAACCGAAGAUUCUCGGAAAUCCGCGCGGAGACAUAGCCGAACACCAGAAGGACAAACAGAGACAACAUGGCGGGAAUUUUAAAACGCGAACCUUUGCCUGAUGGUAGAGAUGCGGAUAAUUUUGGAUAUGUAAAUUCUGUUGAUGAGGCGUAUUAACUCAUUGCGGAUUUCUAAACAGGAUCGACGACGAAGUUUUCUUGCUUUAAGGCUGACAAAGGUUUCGGAAACACUGAUCACUCGAACAGAAGUCACAAAAUACUCUGGGAAGAUCCACGAGACAUUAAAGGUGCAAAAAUUCCUUUUACUGGUGUGCCUUUCAUAAUUUUGGGAAGGAAAGUGUUCGAUUGUUGGCACGGCAAAGAUAGAAAAGCUGGAGAGAAAAGGAAACGAAAAGAUGCAGAUGAGAAGGCUGGUCACAAAGAUUUCGUGUUCAAGAAAAGAAGAUUUCUCGUUCAAGACACACGGAAGUUUGACUGCAAAGCACAGAUAAAAAUGCGAGAAAUUUUAUUUUUUG